GACGAACGCUGGCGGCGUGCUUAACACAUGCAAGUCGAACGAGAGCGUAGAGAAAGCUUGCUUUUUCUACAAUCUAGUGGCAAACGGGUGAGUAACGCGUAAACAACCUGCCCUACGGAUGGGGACAACAGCUGGAAGCGGCUGCUAAUACCGAAUACGUUCCGAAAGUCGCAUGACUAUCGGAAGAAAGGAUGGCCUCUAUUUAUAAGCUAUCGCCGGAGGAGGGGUUUGCGUCUGAUUAGCUAGUUGGAGGGGUAACGGCCCACCAAGGCGACGAUCAGUAGCCGGUCUGAGAGGAUGAACGGCCACAUUGGAACUGAGACACGGUCCAGACUCCUACGGGAGGCAGCAGUGGGGAAUCUUCCGCAAUGGGCGAAAGCCUGACGGAGCAACGCCGCGUGAGUGAAGACGGCCUUCGGGUUGUAAAGCUCUGUUAUACGGGACGAAUAAUCUUGUGGUUAAUACCCAUGAGAAGUGACGGUACCGUAAGAGAAAGCCACGGCUAACUACGUG
rnacentral:rRNA from 1 species